rnacentral:rRNA from 1 species
UACAGAGGUCCCAAGCGUUGUUCGGAUUCAUUGGGCGUAAAGGGUGCGUAGGUGGCGUCGUAAGUCGGGUGUGAAAUCUCGGGGCUUAACUCCGAAACUGCAUUCGAUACUGCGGUGCUUGAGGACUGGAGAGGAGACUGGAAUUUACGGUGUAGCAGUGAAAUGCGUAGAGAUCGUAAGGAAGACCAGUGGCGAAGGCGGGUCUCUGGAAAGUUCCUGACACUGAGGAGCGAAAGCGUGGGUAGCAAACAGG